rnacentral:rRNA from 1 species
UAGGGAAUCUUCGGCAAUGGACGAAAGUCUGACCGAGCAACGCCGCGUGAGUGAAGAAGGUUUUCGGAUCGUAAAACUCUGUUGUUAGAGAAGAACAAGGACGUUAGUAACUGAACGUCCCCUGACGGUAUCUAACCAGAAAGCCACGGCUAACUACGUGCCAGCAGCCGCGGUAAUUCGUAGGUGGCAAGCGUUGUCCGGAUUUAUUGGGCGUAAAGCGAGCGCAGGCGGUUUCUUAAGUCUGAUGUGAAAGCCCCCGGCUCAACCGGGGAGGGUCAUUGGAAACUGGGAGACUUGAGUGCAGAAGAGGAGAGUGGAAUUCCAUGUGUAGCGGUGAAAUGCGUAGAUAUAUGGGGGAACACCAGUGGCGAAGGCGGCGCUCUGGUCUGUAACUGACGCUGAGGCUCGAAAGCGUGGGGAGCAAACAGG